GAUAAUAUUUUUUUUUUUUUUAAUAUUGUGUUUGAAUAUCAUUUAUGACGCUAUAAUAAUUGGAGUAAACAUUUGAGUGUGACGAUAAGAUUCGGUUGUAAAUGCUCUGUAUAGUAUUAUGUCGUAUGUAGAUAGUAGUGUUAUACAGAGUGCAAAUAUAUUGUUAUUUAGUUAUGGUUAUAGUUAUAAUUGUAAAUGUAUGUAGUAAAUGUUGUAAAUGUAUGUAGUAAUAUGUUUAACGUAUGCCUCGAGUACAAUUUGUUGAACUGUUUACUCACCUCGAUGGUGCAACGAUGAUUCACGCUCGGAUCGUGUUUCUACAGGGGACUAAAAUCGCCAUCACCACCAGUACCAACACGGACCGAGAUCUGAUCACGGCGCAGAUGAGAGUGAUGAUCAUCGAUAGCCAAUUCUAAUUCUACUGCUGCUGCUGAGAACUCGGUUAAUAUUUCCAGAGAUCCAAGGCACGGUUCAUAGACAGUUUUUUUGCACAUUUUAAAUUUGGAAGAGAUCCGCGCUCGACGGCAACAUGUUAGAUGCUGUCAUAAGGUUAAGGGCGUUAUUGGCACGUGGUACGGUUUUUGAGAUGAUCACUAUAUAACUGGAGGGGGCAUUGAUCAGUCGGCGAAGGACAGAACAUGAAGAAAUGAGGAAAACAGGAAUGAGGAAAGAAAAUGCCUGGGGAAAAAAAUUUUUUUAUAUCACUAUUUUCCUGAUAUACUGAAUUGGACAAUUCGUAAUGUAAGUUUCGGAGAUCCUAAAUUUAU